AGGGAGGGGUUGGAGGGGCGGAGUCAGAGCACUCUAAAUAUCGGUUUCCCACGCUCUAGAGCUGUAUUGAGAACCGACACUUUCCGAAUGAAGAUACGGAGAUGACUAAAGAGAAGUUCCUGUACCCCCAAAAAGCUGAAGCUGGAGGCUUGAAGAGAAGGGAUCCCAGAAUUGAGAAACAGGAGCAGGGAGCUGUGCUGGAUGCAGUUGAGGAGCAGGAGCCGAGAGCUUCCACGUCAUGCAGUCAUGGAGGCUGAGGAAGGAGGCUCCUGGCGGGUAUAAGCCACCAGGAUUGGACUUGCAUUUCUGAAGUCAAGAAAUAAAUAUUAUAUCAGAAGAUUGGUGUAGGUUUCCUAGUGCCAAGCCUUGUCUGACAACAGGGUAAAACAGGGUGUUUUGUAUAAAUUUUCUAUUAUCUGUGACCCUGAGGAGAUGCCUACUGGAGAAAGACCACAAUUGGACUUUUGAAGGUUUACCCCUUGACUGAACUACAGAGGGAAGCAACAGAGGCUUUGGUGCCCUCCACACUUGCUAACCCUCCACUACCUGCCUGUGAUAACUAGGAAUACUUGUUGCAAUGAUCAAACUGUAUUAUGCUCUAAAAAGAAGAGUAUGUAAAAUAAGUGGGAGAGAUGCCAGUCUGAUUGAUAGAUCAGCCGGAAAAGUAGCAGGGGAAGUGAGAAGAAUGCUGUGAGUUCUGAGAGAGCUGACUGGAACCUUCAAGCCAACAGAGAGCAGGACUUCACUUCCAGCCUAGGAAGAAAAGAGGGAAGGUGUUUUUCUGGGAGCAGAGUAUGAGAGGAAAAAUCCAGAGACUUUGAAAUGACAGUCUAUAAACUGUAAGGAUUCCAUCAACAGUGGGGGGGUGGGUAAUGAAAAGAUUUGGAACUCUGGGGAAAGGAUAAACCCAAAGAGGGACAGUUGGCUCUGCUCUCUUGACUGAGACCAUCUAAGGAGAAGGUCCACUUCUCUGACUGAAUCUCGAUUUCAGAAACCUUUCUUUCCCUGAUUCUAAUCCUCCCAAAUCAACAAGAGAGCAAAAGACCUGAAGAAGGAAAUAGUCUAUGAGAAGAACUGACACAAUAUCCCCCUUUUUAUCCUGAACCUGGGACACAUGCUGUGCUGUGCCAAAGCCAGGGUUCAUUUGCUCUGAACCCCUUGGUGGCUCAGGCCACCUAACCUGAGUUACCUAACUUUGGGGGUAAGGGUUUAGCUAGAUAGGAAUCACUUCUUCCCUCUCUCCCUCUUGACCCCAAUCUACCAGCCAUUUUCAACUUUAUGGCAGAAUCUUCCUCAAGUUUAUGUAGACUUUAUAAUGGACAGGCAAGGAAUUACAUUAAGACAGGGGCCAGGAUCAUAAUGAAUAAGAAGGCAGUUAACUUAACUUAGUACUUGACAACAGACUGGAGUCAAUAUUCACACAGAUUCCAAUCAUGACUGAAAUGUGCCUAGAAUACAUGAUGAGAAAGAAAGAGAAUAUGGGGAAAAUAACUGAAACAGUAGCUGGGAUGUUGUCAAAAAGAAAAAACUUGACUGACAAUACUGACAUGGACAUAAUAAGCAGCAAUAAUUCAAUGACAGUAGAGAUACCAGACAGCACCAAAUCAGAGGAAGUCUAUGGGACUCACAAAAUCAUACCUCUUAGGGACUUUGCAAAAAUGACAAAACAAUUCUGGGAUCCCACACACAAAGGUGCACAAGUCCUUCACAACCCAGGACUUGGAAUCCCUAAAAAAGAAAAUGCUUCAGUUUAUCUCCAAGCCAUUUAGGUGUCUCAAGAAGCUAAAAAGAGCUUUCUGGCUCUAUGAACCUGAUUUUAGGGAUGUGGAGAUUCUUGGAGAACUUUUUUACUCUACAACAACAAAAGCAGUUCGUUGCAAAGAUGAGACAUAUUUGCAAAGGCGAUACCCUUACCAGUUGGCUGGAGGAGCACGCAGAUUUUUGACUUUGCCAGCCCCUGGAACAUAACUUACUUUAAAAAAUGCAGGGAGGAUAAGCUGCAACAGAAGAAGAAAAACAUCCUUCCCUGUUUAUGGACCGGCUUCUUGAAAACAUAGAAGCAAUACUGGGUUACAGCCAAGACUCCCAGGAGUCCACAGCCCAUGUCAGAAGGCAGUUUCUGUGGGGAUGUAAUCAGCACCUCAGAAACUUCUUUAGAAAUUUUUGUCCAAAAUUUGACUCACUUUCUCUAAAUGAACUCAGGGAUACUGUCACCUACCUCUUUGAAAGUCAGGAAGAACAGGAUAGGGAAAAAGAAGAACUUAAGCAAAAGUUACAUUGCAUCACAGAAUCCCUGAAGCAGAAAGAAAUGGAGGAAGUGAAAAACCUGGCCACCAUUAAAACUUUCAGUAGACAAAGCACUCAAUACCAACAGGGGGCAAAGAAAUACAAUAGGAAGUGCUUCCUCUGUGGAAGAACCAGAUGUUUGGUUCAGACCUGCCCAUUGAAAGAGAAAUAUGAACAGGGGCACAACAGGGGUGGAAAAUACCAAUACUAGAACUCACAGGGUAGAGGGUACAACAAGAAUUUUGGGAAAUAACAAAGUGUUGAGAAAUCAGAGCAGGGAGCUUUGCUGGAUGCCACUAAGGAGCAGAAGCAGAGAGCUUCCAUGCCAUGCAGUCAAGGAUUAUACUGGCAUUAUUUCUGAAGUCAAGAAAUAAAUAUUACAUCAGAAGAUUGGUAUAGGUUUCCCAGUGCCAAGCCCUGUCUGACAACAUUGUAAACCAGGUGUUUGUGACCCCAAGGAAACGCCUUCUGGAGAAAGACCACAGAAUUGGACUUAGGAAGGUUCACCCCUUGACUGAACUACUACAGAGGGAAACAACAGAGGCUUUGAUGGCCUCCAUUCUUGCUAAUCCCUACUUUUUUCUUCAGCCUUACCUAUGCAGCAAGGCACCCUUAAUUCCUUCCAAAGAGAAACAUGCCUCAAAUAUAUAUCAAAGGAGUUGAGACUUUGUCCUUUGUAAUGGCCAGUUUAGUGGCAACAGUAAUUGAGACUGAUCUACCUUAGAAAAAUCCCUGAACAUAAAGAUAAGACACUCAUUGGAAAAUUCUGUAAAGAAACAUACUUAAAAUGGACAGGCAUUCUAUCAUUAGUUCUGUUUCAUCUUAGAACAAGAUAAAGUUGGGAUUUGCACAUCUCACCAUUUGAAAUGCUAUACGGAUAUGCAAUUUGGCAGGGAAGAAGUUGUAAGCCAGCUUACAUAGCCAUGAUAGGAGGAGACUCAUUUAACAAAAUAUAUUCAGGUAGUACAAAAUAGGAUAACAAUUGCAUGAAAUUGGUAUAAUUCAACAGACAGUAAGUACAAUCUACAUAACAUCAAACCAGGAGAUAAAGUUUACAUCAAAAACUAGCAGAAAAACAGCUACAGAAUUAAAAUGGGUUGGACCAUGCGAAGUUUUGCUCACUACACCAAGUUCUGUUAAAGUUGCAGGAAAAGAGUCAUGGUUCCACUAUUCACAUGUAAAACCUGAGAAAUCUUACACCAUUGCAAAUGAUAUAGACAAAGGAAAAUAGUGAAGAGAAAAGCGAAAAAGCUGCUAGAAGAGACAAUGUUGCAAGCUGAAAUGGACAGCUAAGACUUUGAACUUUGUAAAUUUAUAUAUAUGAGGACAGAAGGGAAACAGGAACUAUAUGUGAGAUAUUGGUGCGGUGUUAGCACAAAUAAAAUUAACUGUGUACUAGGCUAGGGAAUACAUGCAAUAUACACAUAACUUGCAAGAAAAGAGAAACAUCAGGCAAAAUGUAAAGAAGUGAAAACAUGAAGAAAAGUAAGUAUACCCAUGCAACACAACACAAAAGACAUAAAACAGCUAAAGUAGGUCAAACCUAGAGGUUUGGGGCUAGGCUGUAGGAUUUUACAGGGGGCGACAGUUGGAGAAGACUGCAAUAUUCCAUUUCCCCUGGGAGUGACUGCUGCUCUCUAAGGUAUUGCAAAAUAGAAUUUUAAUCAAAGUGGAUACUGUUAUAAGGGAUUUAUUAAGAGCAAACUGAAAGCAGGAAGUACUAAGGUAGAGGCAGAGAGAGAAUUCCUGAACCCUGGAGAGACUGACUGACUAUGGAGGGGCAGUUGGUGGAAUUACUCUCUGGAGUAGGAGACUGCGAGCUUUCCUUCAAGCAAGUUUUACCUUCUGGGAAGUAGUCGAGAUUGGUUUAACUCCACAGGGGGACUGUGUGAGUUAAACCAUUACUCCCCUUCUUAGUGGUCUGUAUCUGUGCUGUGUGUUUCUGCUGCUACUGUGAUUUCUACUAGUACUCCUACCAGACUCAAGAGGACAACUAUCUGAGACUUCCUUUGGCCCUUGUUCCUGUAACCUUCAAGUGUUUCCCAAAUUUAUAAACCAAGGGGGUAAAUUUAAUUAGUUUUAGUUACCUAGAUUUGUAGGUAGUGAAAUUAUCAGAUAGUGGGUUUAGCAAUUUGAUUUGGAGUAUAAGAUAAGAUUAUCCUGAUUCCCUUCCCUUCCUCCCUUCUCCUAAAAUAGAUGGUUACUUUUGUUAUGUUUAUAGUUUCUACCCAUUAUUUUAAUAUAACUAUUUCAGUUGGUGAUUUAAGAAGGACAAGCCUAGACUAUAAAAACUAUAUAGGAAGUGACAGUUGAAAACCUGCAGGAUUCCAUUUUUCCCUUGGGAGCAACUGAGUGCUGUCCAAGGUGCUACAACAUCGAAUUUUGACUGAUUGACACAAGUGGGGAAUUUAACAUUUAAAGAGCCAGUUUAAGGGGACCAAAAAAGCAUAUGUGCUAAUAGGAAUUUGUUUUCCUUUCUCUUUUUCUGUUCUCUUGGUGAUUCUUGUGGUACUCAAAAGUGGAUACUAAUACCACUUAUUCUAUACUGUAUUACAAAAUAUUACAUAGAUACAGCAUCAUGACAGGAGACAUAAUAAAUGUUAUUUUAUUAUUUCUCUAUGAUUGUUUCCUGUACAUCCCCUAUGGGAUUUUUACAUUAUUUCCAGAAUUCUGUUACAUACUAUUGGGCUAUGAUUGGAUGGAAUCACGUAUGUGUAUAACAAUCAGAACUAUUUGUUCAUAUUUGCCUCUUGUGGGUUUGUGUUGGCGCUAUGUAAAUGUAGAAAUCUGUUUUUUGCAAUUGUAAAUAAAAUGAGGGCAAUAGUACAAAAGCUGACCAGAGGUUCAGAAAUGAAAUAAACAUUAUUUUUAAUGCAAGCAAAAUUUUAAGCUUCGAAACAAAGUACUAAGGAUGGAAUGAUACAAAAUAAUGGUGUUGGAUAUGGUUUACAGGAAAAUUAUAUGGUUAAUGUAAAUGACAAAUGUUAAAAUUUAAUAAAUAUAAUAAUAAAUAAUAAAAUUUAAUUAAAAAAUUAAAUUAGAAAAAGAGAAUGCAGAAUUAAAUAAGACCCAAGUUAAUCUGUUUCCUCUGAGGGAUAUCCCAUUAAUUUCUCAGGAUGGAGUAUUUCAAAUUAAGACCCAUAAGCUAGUCACUUCAGAAGUAGAAACAAUCAAGCAUCAGACCCUUCUCUUUUUUGAUGAUCCAAUAAGGUUAUAAAAGAAUUCCAGAAGGCAAUUAAAAUCUUUGACCCAGACUACACUGAUUUUUUUUUUCUUUUUGAUGGAGGAAUUGCUCACUAAGAGAGAAAUGAAUUUAUUGAGGUGACCAGAAAUAAUCUACCUUUGACCCCAUAGCUAGAAAAAGUGGAGGAAGGCACAGGAAGUGAUGGAAAAGAAAGUGUCUUUAAAAGGGAGUUACAACUUCCUGUGGGGAUUUUGACUUCUGGGAGUUCUGGAGUUCUUCAUGCUUGGGACUUCUGACUGCUCUCAUUCUUUGGAGUUCUGAGUUCAAGUUGGAGGCUGGAGAAGAAUCUGCUGACUGGACCUGAGACCUUUCCUGGUGAGACUGUUCAUAAAUCUCUCCCUUUGGACUUACAGUGAGUGAAAAGAGCUGACUCCUUUCCUGGAUUUUUUGAAGAAAUUAGGCUCAGGAGAGACCUAUCCUCUUGAGAGAGGCUCCCUGCAUCCCUAGGUCCUUGGUUCAAAAGUCAAGGCCUCUUCAGCUAAGGACUAAACUUCUCUGCCUGGGUUGAGCCAGGGGUCGGAGCAAAAUACUCAAAGCUUAGGCUAGACAUCUUACCCUAUCCUCUCUCUGAUUUCCUACUUUACUCUUAGUAUAUUUUGUAAAUAAAAUUUCUGGAAUUUCAUAAAAUUCCUGGUGGCCCUAUUCUUGAAUAAUCCAGUUCAACCUUUUUAUAAACCCUGCUUUUCUCCCCCUUAUAAAAGCCAGGGAUAAUGAGAUCAAAGAAAUAAAAGCAGUGGCAGCACUUAGAUCUGUGCAACCAAAUAAUACAUACCAAGAGAAAGGAGAUCAGAAAUUCCAAGAUGUUUUUUUUUUUUAUGUAGUCAUGUAGGGCAUUUAAGAGAAUACAGAUACAGAUGAGUUUUCUAGACAAAUCAAUAGGAAUAAUGGGUACAAUAGGCAAUAUAAUAAUGGAGAAAUAAUAAUUGGAAUAAUAAUUAUUAAAGAAGGAAUAAUGGUAAUAAUUGUCCAAAUGCUUGCUGUCAGGGAGCUCAAGCACCUUAUUUGAACACAAUGCAAAUGUGGGUAAAAUCUGGAGUGAGAUCUAACUAUAGCCAAGUGGUUAGUGGACAUGAGGGUGAUCAGAACAAAGGGGCAUGUUCAAUUUUUAAGAAGGUGUACCCGGAGUUCUCAAGUAUUUGAAGAAUCAAAGGAAAAUGGAUUGAAAAUAAAUGGUAUUGAAUGUAAUGGAGAUAAGGUUAAUGACUGUAAAUAAUGUGAUUGAAACAAAAGAUAAUUAGUGUUAAUUGUGAGGGGAAAAUUGUAAUGUAAAAUUAGUUGAAAAUUCUAAUGAUUGUGAAAUAAUUUAAAAUAGUGAAGGAUGUAAAUUAGAUAAAAAUAAUAUGGUUGUAAAUGAGAACAAUGAUACCAAGGUUGAGGUCAUAAGGACCAAUGGAGAGUAGUGAAAAAAUAUGAUAAAGGUAUUAAAAAUGUGAAAUCCUGGGAAUAUCAUGCAAUUCAAGCAGAUGUAAGUUUGGAUGGACAGGAAAUGACUGAGAUUUCUACUAAUAUUACUUGUUAGCACUGGUGCUAGAAACAUUUCAACCAACAAAUAAUACAGGACCACAUGUGUCUGUAACUAUUGGAUACCUGAUUUAUGACCUUCUGAUUGAUACUGGAGCCAGUAAAUCAGUUUUGCAAAGUUUUACUGAGAAUUGUAGAGCUGUUGGUACAAUGGAAGUAAUAGGUUCUACUGGUAAACUGCAGAGACUAGCAAAAUUACAACCAAAAAUGAUUACUUUAGGUCCACUGUUUGAGGAACAUGCAUUUCUGUGUAUGCUAGAAUGUCCAAUGAGUCUUUUAGAAAGAGAUUUAUUAUAUAAAUUGAGGGCAACAAUCCAAAGUAAUGGAACUGGUGAUAUCUCAUGACAUCUACCAGAAGAAUCUCUGAAAGCUUUUCUAUUGCUAUUCUUAGAUUCAGUCAGUACAGAGGGUGACUUAGGUUCAAUCUACCUAAUACCUGAGAAUAUCCCUAAGGAUCUUUGGUCAAAGUCUUCCACAGAUAAAGGUUUAUUGAAAUCAGCUACUCCAGUCAGGGUAAAGACUAAGGAAGAACCAGUUCCUAGUGUACCUCAAUAUCCCUUGACUAAAGAAGCAAUUGAGGGUAUAAGACCCAUCAUUGAAUCCCUAAUCCAACAAGGGAUCAUAAUACCUUGCUUCUCAGAAUUUUAUAUUCCUAUUCUUCCAAUUAAAAAGCCAAAGUUGGAUGAGAAUGGCAAACCUGUAUUUCAUUUUAUCCAGGAUUUAAGAGCAGUCGGUUAUGUAAUCAAAACAUAUCCUGUUGUAUCAAGUCCAGCUGCUAUAAUUUCUUCCAUUACAAGUCAGGCAAGAUAUUUAACUGGGGUAAAUUUGUGCUCAGCUUUUU